rnacentral:rRNA from 1 species
GGGGAUCGAAAGACCUUAUGCUUUUGGAGCGGCCGAUGUCUGAUUAGCUAGUUGGUAAGGUAAUGGCUUACCAAGGCAACGAUCAGUAGUUGGUCUGAGAGGACGACCAGCCACACUGGGACUGAGACACGGCCCAGACUCCUACGGGAGGCAGCAGUGGGGAAUUUUGGACAAUGGGCGCAAGCCUGAUCCAGCAAUGCCGCGUGAGUGAAGAAGGCCUUCGGGUUGUAAAGCUCUUUCGGUCGGAAAGAAAUAUCUAUAGAAAAUAUCUAUAGAGGAUGACGGUACCGACAUAAGAAGCACCGGCUAACUACGUGCCAGCAGCCGCGGUAAUACGUAGGGUGCAAGCGUUAAUCGGAAUUAUUGGGCGUAAAGGGUGCGCAGGCGGUAUUGUAAGUCAGAUGUGAAAGCCCCGGGCUUAACCUGGGAAUUGCGUUUGAAA